rnacentral:rRNA from 1 species
GAUGAACGCUAGCUACAGGCUUAACACAUGCAAGUCGAGGGGAAACGAUAUUGGAAGCUUGCUUCCGAUAGGCGUCGACCGGCGCACGGGUGAGUAACGCGUAUCCAACCUGCCCACCACUUGGGGAUAACCUUGCGAAAGUAAGACUAAUACCCAAUGAUAUCUCUAGAAGACAUCUGAAGGAGAUUAAAGAUUCAUCGGUGAUGGAUGGGGAUGCGUCUGAUUAGCUUGUUGGCGGGGUAACGGCCCACCAAGGCGACGAACAGUAGGGGUUCUGAGAGGAAGGUCCCCCACAUUGGAACUGAGACACGGUCCAAGCUCCUACGGGAGGCAGCAGUGAGGAAUAUUGGUCAAUGGGCGAGAGCCUGAACCAGCCAAGUAGCGUGCAGGAUGACGGCCCUAUGGGUUGUAAACUGCUUUUAUAAGGGAAUAAAGUGAGUCUCGUGAGACUUUUUGCAUGUACCUUAUGAAUAAGGACCGGCUAAUUCCGUGCCAGCAGCCGCAGUAA